UUAACAUGCAUUGUCAGCAUUUUUAAAGAUUUUCUUUUCAAGAUUUAGUAAACGUUUAAUAAUGUAAAACUGAAGAAUGAGACAAAAAGAAAAAAGAAAAGGAAAUUUUGUGUCGAGUCAUUAGAAAGGAAGUAUAGUAAUAUUUUUCAAACAAAAAAAAAGGAAAUUUUGCUCAUUUUUGUAUUUGAAAUACAUUAUAUACUAUAUAAUUAUAAUUAAAGUAGAAAAUAAUGAAAUGAGAAAUUAUAUAGUUUCUAAAAUAUAGAGAAAGCGGGGGGGGGAGGGGGCCUUACUCAAAAUUUCAAUUUUAAAAUAUAACAAAAAUCAGUAUUUCGUUACUAGCCUUGAGAAUCACUUGUUUCCUCGAAAAAUAGGAAAAUAUUGACAUUGUGCCUUGUAUUAUAUCUACCAACGAGCAACAUUUUCUAAUAAAAUAUAAUGCCGGGAAUUUUGGAAAAAAAACAAAAAGUCAUUCCCCUCGUUGGAUCAACAUUACACGUGGUGGGAAAAUAUUGUCCGGAAAUAUUGUCCGACAUUGAAAAAAUAGAAGGAAAUAAUUUGCAAACGGGACAAAUUUUCGCAACAAGUCAACGACAGCAAAAUAAUAAACAAGGAUCACAAAGUCAUUUGGAAACAUUAAGAAAUAAAUUUCGAACAAUAGAGAUUCUCUUUCCCGAUUUAUUUGAAGCAAAUAACGAAUGUCAAGAAGAAAGAAGAUUAUUUUAAACUUGUUCUUAGAAAAACAAAAAAAAAAAAAAAAAACCCCAGAAAUUAAAUCUGGUUUCAUAAUAAUUAUUAAAUUAUAUACAUAUAAAGCUUAUUACAAGCUUUGUGAUAUUAUUAUUAUUAUUUUACGAAAUUUUUAAUUUUUAAACAUAUUUUCAUUAUUUGUUUUAAAUAUUUAAAACUAUAAUAUUGUUCGAUGCGUUGUUAAAAUUUUUUUUUGUUGUUUUUUUUUUUUUGUUAAUAAUUACCAUAAUGUGAAAAAAAAAUUGUAAAUUAUAAAAAAAAAAAAUUUCCUGUGUAUAGAUGGAUAAAGAAAUAUUAACUGCAAUAUAUUUUAGUUGCAGUGUGUGGG